rnacentral:misc_RNA from 1 species
GAUGAAGAACGUAGCGAAAUGCGAUAAGUAAUGUGAAUUGCAGAAUUCAGUGAAUCAUCGAAUCUUUGAACGCACAUUGCGCCCCUUGGUAUUCCGAGGGGCAUGCCUGUUCGAGCGUCAUUAUCACCCCUCAAGCUUUGCUUGGUGUUGGGGCCUGCUGUAAUAGGCAGCCCUUAAAAUCAGUGGCGGUGCUUCAAGGCUCUAAGCGUAGUAAUUCUCCUCGCUAUAGUGUCUAGUGGUUGCCAGCCAGAACCCCCCAAUUUUCAUGAUUGACCUCGGAUCAGGUAGGGAUACCCGCUGAACUUAAGCAUAUCAAAAGCGGAGGA